UGCGAAGGGGGCUAGCGUUGCUCGGAAUCACUGGGCGUAAAGGGUGCGUAGGCGGGUUUUUAAGUCAGAGGUGAAAUCCUGGAGCUCAACUCCAGAACUGCCUUUGAUACUGAAAGUCUUGAGUAUGGGAGAGGUGAGUGGAACUGCGAGUGUAGAGGUGAAAUUCGUAGAUAUUCGCAAGAACACCAGUGGCGAAGGCGGCUCACUGGCCCAUAACUGACGCUGAGGCACGAAAGCGUGGGGAGCAAACGGG
rnacentral:rRNA from 1 species